AAUUUAAUUCCUGCCUUAGUGAACUCAGCUGAGUUGCACUCUUUCCAAAUUUCUUCCUGAGUUUUACUGAGAGGGGUAUAGUUGCUGAACGUGCUAGGAGGUCCACGGGGUUCCCUAGGCCUUUCGCCUCUUCGUCUUCCUCCUCCUCGGCUGGACUGUUCAGCAUUUGGACGAGGAGCAGGUUGACUGUUUCCUGCUCGCCCAUAACGGGCAGCAUCUGCAGCUUGCUGCUCUUCAUAUUGGAUGUAGGGUUGAGAUUUGAGGAGGAGGUCGCUAAAGGUGCGCGGUUUUUCGAUU
rnacentral:lncRNA from 1 species